rnacentral:rRNA from 1 species
AGUGAACGCUGGCGGUAGGCCUAACACAUGCAAGUCGAACGGCAGCACAGUAAGAGCUUGCUCUUACGGGUGGCGAGUGGCGGACGGGUGAGGAAUACAUCGGAAUCUACUUUUUCGUGGGGGAUAACGUAGGGAAACUUACGCUAAUACCGCAUACGACCUACGGGUGAAAGCAGGGGAUCUUCGGACCUUGCGCGAUUGAAUGAGCCGAUGUCGGAUUAGCUAGUUGGCGGGGUAAAGGCCCACCAAGGCGACGAUCCGUAGCUGGUCUGAGAGGAUGAUAGGCCACACUGGAACUGAGACACGGUCCAGACUCCUAAGGGAGGCAGCAGUGGGGAAUAUUGGACAAAGGGCGCAAGCCUGAUCCAGCCAUACCGCGUGGGUGAAGAAGGCCUUCGGGUUGUAAAGACCUUUUGUUGGGAAAGAAAAGCAGCAGGUUAAUACCCCGCUGUUCUGACGGUACCCAAAGAAUAAGCACCGGCUAACUUCGUG